rnacentral:rRNA from 1 species
CUUUGCUAGUCCCUCGGGAUUACAUUUGACUCGCUGAAGUUGACCGAACUUGAUGAUUUAGAGGAAGUAAAAGUCGUAACAAGGUUUCCGUAGGUGAACCUGCGGAAGGAUCAUUAUCGAACACACAACACACCCCAAGAGUGUCACGUCUACCCAGUGUAUGUUUUCCGAGGACUCUGCAGCGCCAGGUGCUACUCGUAGUCGUAGGUAGUGAUAUACCCGUACGAACGUAGGUACCGAACACUAACUGCUCUGCUGUGCCGGUCCUCUAUGAUUGCUGCCCCCACCCCAAGGUGUGUGUGUUUUACAUCUCUUGUUCUAAGAGGAAAACCCA